rnacentral:rRNA from 1 species
CCUACGGGUGGCAGCAGUGAGGAAUAUUGGUCAAUGGACGAGAGUCUGAACCAGCCAAGUAGCGUGAAGGAUGACUGCCCUAUGGGUUGUAAACUUCUUUUAUAUGGGAAUAAAAUGUUCCACGUGUGGGAUUUUGUAUGUACCAUAUUAAUAAGGAUCGGCUAACUCCGUGCCAGCAGCCGCGGUAAUACGGAGGAUCCUAGCGUUAUCCGGAUUUAUUGGGUUUAAAGGGAGCGUAGGUGGAUUGUUAAGUCAGUUGUGAAAGUUUGCGGCUCAACCGUAAAAUUGCAGUUGAAACUGGCAGUCGUGAGUACAGUAGAGGUGGGCGGAAUUCGUGGUGUAGCGAUGAAAUGCUUAGAUAUCACGAAGAACUCCGAUUGCGAAGGCAGCUCACUGGACUGCAACUGACACUGAGGCUCGAAAGUGUGGGUAUCAAACAGGAUUAGAUACCCCUGUAGUC